rnacentral:rRNA from 1 species
CUAAGGCUGAUGGCGACCGGCGCACGGGUGAGUAACACGUAUCCAACCUGCCGAUAACUCGGGGAUAGCCUUUCGAAAGAAAGAUUAAUACCCGAUGGUAUAAUAAAACCGCAUGGUUUAAUUAUUAAAGAAUUUCGGUUAUCGAUGGGGAUGCGUUCCAUUAGGCAGUUGGUGAGGUAACGGCUCACCAAACCUUCGAUGGAUAGGGGUUCUGAGAGGAAGGUCCCCCACAUUGGAACUGAGACACGGUCCAA